rnacentral:rRNA from 1 species
GACGAACGCUGGCGGCGUGCUUAACACAUGCAAGUCGAACGAAGUGGCGAACGGGUGAGUAACGCGUAAUCAACCUGCCCUUCAGAGGGGGACAACAGUUGGAAACGACUGCUAAUACCGCAUACGGAAGGAGGGGCUUGCGUCUGUUUUGCUGGUUGGAGGGGUAACGGCCCACCAAGGCGAGGAUCAGUAGCCGGGCUGAGAGGAUGAACGGCCAAAUUGGGACUGAGACACGGCCCAGAACUCUACGGGAGGCAGCAGGGGGGAAUCUUCCGAAAUGGACGAAAGGCUGACGGAGCAACGCCGCGGGAGUGAUGACGGCUUUCGGGUUGUAAAGCUCUGUUAAUCGGGACGCGGUACCGAAAUAGAAAGCCACGGCUAACUACGUGCCAGCAGCCGCGGUAAUUC